AAACAAGUCGACUUGCAAUGCGUGGAGUGAGACAAGGUCAUGCCAGGAGAGGCGCACAUCUUUUACUGUUUAAGGGAGCUCAGCGUUUAAUGACGUGCUAAAUGUCUCAUUUAGUUUAACCUUGACAACUUGGUAAAACCCCUACCCCUUGCUGUUGACAAUCCUCAAUUGAUUACCUGCUGCUGUUGCGUUAUUUGGGUUCUGUUUUCCAAUAUCGGCGUUGUAAGAGCUUCUGAAUGUCAUCAGUCAUUUUUGCCUCUAUAUUGUGGGAGUUUAGAAAUGCCACCAGCUCCCUUGGGAUCGAUCGCCUGAAAAAUGGAACACAAAUGUUUUUUUCGGAAAGAAGAAAAAGAAGCCUCUAGCUUUUAGCAACCUCCCGCCCCCUCAAAAAAACCCCAUAAACUCAGGAAACGUACAGCUAAUCUCCUCCAUUGCACUUCAGCCACCAGUCAUUAUCCGCUCUCCAGCUGACUUGGAUGCCACACAUCCCUCCUGUUCAAAGCACAACGCAUGGGAGAACACGCCAGUCUAUCAUGUGUGCAUCAACAAGGAAUAAUUGGCCUUCAUGUAUCAAUGUGAUUCCUUGCAUGGAUGAACAGUUCUAAUGUCAGGGCUUUGUGAGCUUCUUCCUGGAAAGGAAACCCUUGUUGACCCCUUUUUCUGGUAUAUUAACCAUUGUUAAAUCCAAAAUGUCCAUCUGUUUUGGCUGAAAUCUUUGUCACGGUUAAAUAAGAACAAUUUAGCAAUUGCCUUCUGGGAAUGGAAUUGCCUUUGUUAGGCUGCUGAGGCCCAUUGCUCCAGCUGGAAGAUGGUGGGCGAUGUCUUAAUCACACAAGGAUCGCCUUGUAGAUUAAAAUUGAAUUUCCAAAACUUGUCACUUCAGAUAUGUAUCUUCCCUCUAUGGUGACAUUGUCUCCAUCUUUACAGCAGGCAUUCAAUAUGAUAAAUCAAGGGUUCUCUAUCAUAUAUAUCACACAUCCUUUCAAUCGGUCCAUC
rnacentral:lncRNA from 1 species